rnacentral:rRNA from 1 species
GACGUAGGGGGCCAGCGUUGUUCGGAAUUACUGGGUGUAAAGGGUUCGUAGGCGGUGCGGCAAGUUGGGAGUGAAAUCUCUGGGCUUAACCCAGAGGCUGCUUCCAAAACUGCUGUGCUUGAGUGUGGGAGAGGCGCGUGGAAUUGCAGGUGUAGCGGUGAAAUGCGCAGAUAUCAGGAGGAACACCAAUGGCGAAGGCAGCUCGCUGGAACGGUACUGACGCUGAGGCGCGAAAGCGUGGGGAGCAAACAGG